GAUGAACGCUGGCGGCGUGCCUAAUACAUGCAAGUCGAACGCGCAGCGAGAGGUGCUUGCACCUUUCAAGCGAGUGGCGAACGGGUGAGUAACACGUGGAUAACCUGCCUCAAGGCUGGGGAUAACAUUUGGAAACAGAUGCUAAUACCGAAUAAAACUUAGUAUCGCAUGAUAUCAAGUUAAAAGGCGCUACGGCGUCACCUAGAGAUGGAUCCGCGGUGCAUUAGUUAGUUGGUGGGGUAAAGGCUUACCAAGACGAUGAUGCAUAGCCGAGUUGAGAGACUGAUCGGCCACAGUGGGACUGAGACACGGCCUAAACUCCUACGGGAGGCUGCAGGAGGGAAUCUUCCACAAUGGGCGCAAGCCUGAUGGAGCAACGCCGCGUGUGUGAUGAAGGCUUUCGGGUCGUAAAGCACUGUUGUAUGGGAAGAAAUGCUAAAAUAGGGAAUGAUUCUAGUUCGACGGUACCAUACCAGAAAGGGACGGCUAAAUACGUGCCAGCCGCCGCAGUAA
rnacentral:rRNA from 1 species